GGCAUACCUGUUCGAGCGUCAUUACACCCCUCAAAGAUAACUCUUUGGCGUUAGGCAAUGCCUAAAGGCAUGCCUCAAAAUCAGCGAUGGUGAUAUUCAACCACAGGCGCACACAUGUCUAGCUGGCGGGAUGUUGUCAGUCAAUUGAUGAAUUUCUAAAUGUUGACCUCGGAUCAGGUAGGAAUACCCGCUGAACUUAA
rnacentral:misc_RNA from 1 species